rnacentral:rRNA from 1 species
CACGUAGGGGGCAAGCGUUGUCCGGAUUUAUUGGGCGUAAAGAGCUCGUAGGCGGCUUAGUAAGUCGGGUGUGAAACCUCCAGGCUCAACCUGGAGACGCCACCCGAUACUGCUGUGGCUAGAGUCCGGUAGGGGAGCGUGGAAUUCCUGGUGUAGCGGUGAAAUGCGUAGAUAUGCGGAGGAACACCGAUGGCGAAGGCAAUCCCCUGGACCUGUACUGACGCUCAUGCACGAAAGCGUGGGGAGCAAACAGG